rnacentral:rRNA from 1 species
UGGAAGCGUCUGGAAAGGCGCGCGAUACAGGGUGACAGCCCCGUACACAAAAAUACACAUAUUGUGAGCUCGAUGAGUAGGGCGGGACACGUGGUAUCCUGUCUGAAUAUGGGGGGACCAUCCUCCAAGGCUAAAUACUCCUGACUGACCGAUAGUGAACCAGUACCGUGAGGGAAAGGCGAAAAGAACCCCGGCGAGGGGAGUGAAAAAGAACCUGAAACCGUGUACGUACAAGCAGUGGGAGCACGCUUAGGCGUGUGACUGCGUACCUUUUGUAUAAUGGGUCAGCGACUUAUAUUCUGUAGCAAGGUUAACCGAAUAGGGGAGCCGAAGGGAAACCGAGUCUUAACUGGGCGUUAAGUUGCAGGGUAUAGACCCGAAACCCGGUGAUCUAGCCAUGGGCAGGUUGAAGGUUGGGUAACACUAACUGGAGGACCGAACCGACUAAUGUUGAAAAAUUAGCGGAUGACUUGUGGCUGGGGGUGAAAGGCCAAUCAAACCGGGAGAUAGCUGGUUCUCCCCGAAAGCUAUUUAGGUAGC